UAGGGAAUCUUCGGCAAUGGACGGAAGUCUGACCGAGCAACGCCGCGUGAGUGAAGAAGGUUUUCGGAUCGUAAAGCUCUGUUGUAAGAGAAGAACGAGUGUGAGAGUGGAAAGUUCACACUGUGACGGUAUCUUACCAGAAAGGGACGGCUAACUACGUGCCAGCAGCCGCGGUAAUACGUAGGUCCCGAGCGUUGUCCGGAUUUAUUGGGCGUAAAGCGAGCGCAGGCGGUUAGAUAAGUCUGAAGUUAAAGGCUGUGGCUUAACCAUAGUACGCUUUGGAAACUGUUUAACUUGAGUGCAAGAGGGGAGAGUGGAAUUCCAUGUGUAGCGGUGAAAUGCGUAGAUAUAUGGAAGAACACCAGUGGCGAAAGCGGCUCUCUGGUCUGUAACUGACGCUGAGGUUCGAAAGCGUGGGUAGCAAACAGGAUUAGAUACCCUGGUAGUCCACGCCGUAAACGAUGAAUGCUAGGUGUUGGAGGGUUUCCGCCCUUCAGUGCCGCAGCUAACGCAAUAAGCAUUCCGCCCGGGGAGUACGACCGCAAGGUUG
rnacentral:rRNA from 1 species